UACAGAGGUGGCAAGCGUUGUUCGGAAUUACUGGGCGUAAAGGGCGCGUAGGCGGCCUACUAAGUCAGACGUGAAAUCCCCCGGCUUAACCUGGGAACUGCGUCUGAUACUGGAAGGCUUGAGGAUGGGAGAGGGAUGUAGAAUUCCAGGUGUAGCGGUGAAAUGCGUAGAUAUCUGGAGGAAUACCGGUGGCGAAGGCGGCAUCCUGGACCAACACUGACACUGAGGAGCGAAAGCCAGGGGAGCAAACGGG
rnacentral:rRNA from 1 species